ACUCCUACGGGAGGCAGCAGUGGGGAAUAUUGCACAAUGGGCGCAAGCCUGAUGCAGCCAUGCCGCGUGUAUGAAGAAGGCCUUCGGGUUGUAAAGUACUUUCAGCAGUGAGGAAGGUGGAUAUGUUAAUAGCAUAUUCAUUUGACGUUAGCUGCAGAAGAAGCACCGGCUAACUCCGUGCCAGCAGCCGCGGUAAUACGGAGGGUGCGAGCGUUAAUCGGAAUUACUGGGCGUAAAGCGCAUGCAGGUGGUUUGUUAAGUCAGAUGUGAAAGCCCGGGGCUCAACCUCGGAAUUGCAUUUGAAACUGGCAAACUAGAGUACUGUAGAGGGGGGUAGAAUUUCAGGUGUAGCGGUGAAAUGCGUAGAGAUCUGAAGGAUACCGGUGGCGAAGGCGGCCCCCUGGACAGAUACUGACACUCAGAUGCGAAAGCGUGGGGAGCAAACAGGAUUAGAUACCCUGGUAGGCCUAC
rnacentral:rRNA from 1 species